rnacentral:rRNA from 1 species
CAGCAGCCGCGGGAAUACGAAGGGGGCUAGCGUUGCUCGGAAUGACUGGGCGUAAAGGGCGCGUAGGCGGUUUAUACAGUCAGAUGUGAAAUUCCUGGGCUCAACCUGGGGACUGCAUUUGAUACGUAUGGACUUGAGUGGCGAAGAGGGUCGUGGAAUUUCCAGUGUAGAGGUGAAAUUCGUAGAUAUUGGAAAGAACACCGGUGGCGAAGGCGGCGACCUGGUCUUUAACUGACGCUGAGGCGCGAAAGCGUGGGGAGCAAACAGGAUUAGAUACCCCCGUAGUCCCUGUCUCUUAUAC